CGUUAGCGGCGAACGGGUGAGUAACACGUAAGGAAUCUACCUAUAAGCGGGGGAUAACAUUCGGAAACGGGUGCUAAUACCGCAUAAUAUCUUCUUCCGCAUGGAAGAAGAUUGAAAGACGGCUCUGCUGUCACUUAUAGAUGACCUUGCGGUGCAUUAGUUAGUUGGUGGGGUAACGGCCUACCAAGACGAUGAUGCAUAGCCGACCUGAGAGGGUGAUCGGCCACAUUGGGACUGAGACACGGCCCAAACUCCUACGGGAGGCAGCAGUAGGGAAUCUUCCGCAAUGGGCGAAAGCCUGACGGAGCAAUGCCGCGUGAGUGAAGAAGGCCUUCGGGUCGUAAAACUCUGUUAUAAGAGAAGAACAAAUUGUAGAGUAACUGCUACAGUCUUGACGGUAUCUUAUCAGAAAGCCACGGCUAACUACGUGCCAGCAGCCGCGGUAAUACGUAGGUGGCAAGCGUUGUCCGGAUUUAUUGGGCGUAAAGGGAGCGCAGGUGGUUUCUUAAGUCUGAUGUGAAAGCCCACGGCUUAACCGUGGAGGGUCAUUGGAAACUGGGAAACUUGAGUACAGAAGAGGAAUGUGGAACUCCAUGUGUAGCGGUGGAAUGCGUAGAUAUAUGGAAGAACACCAGUGGCGAAGGCGACAUU
rnacentral:rRNA from 1 species